AUUGAACGCUGGCGGCAGGCUUAACACAUGCAAGUCGAGCGGAGAUGAGGUGCUUGCACCUUAUCUUAGCGGCGGACGGGUGAGUAAUGCUUAGGAAUCUGCCUAUUAGUGGGGGACAACAUUCCGAAAGGAAUGCUAAUACCGCAUUCGCCCUACGGGGGAAAGCAGGGGAUCUUCGGACCUUGCGCUAAUAGAUGAGCCUAAGUCGGCUUAGCUAGUUGGUGGGGUAAAGGCCUACCAAGGCGACGAUCUGUAGCGGGUCUGGGAGGAUGAUCCGCCACGCUGGGACUGAGACACGGCCCAGACGCCUACGGGAGGCAGCAGUGGGGAAUAUUGGACAAUGGGCGGAAUCCUGAUCCAGCCAUGCCGCGUGUGUGAAGAAGGCCUUUUGGUUGUAAAGCACUUUAAGCGAGGAGGAGGCUACCUGGAUUAAUACUCUAGGAUAGUGGACGUUACUCGCAGAAUAAGCACCGGCUAACUCUGUGCCAGCCGCCGCGGUAAGAC
rnacentral:rRNA from 1 species